rnacentral:rRNA from 1 species
AGAACGAACGCUGGCGGCAGGCUUAACACAUGCAAGUCGAACGGUUGUAGCAAUACAGCAGUGGCAGACGGGUGAGUAACACGUGGGAACCUUCCUAAGGGUACGGAACAACUCAGGGAAACUUGAGCUAAUACCGUAUACGUCCGUGAGGAGAAAGAUUUAUCGCCCCUAGACGGGCCCGCGUAGGAUUAGGUAGUUGGUGAGGUAACGGCUCACCAAGCCUACGAUCCUUAGCUGAUCUGAGAGGAUGAUCAGCCACACUGGGACUGAGACACGGCCCAGACUCCUACGGGAGGCAGCAGUGGGGAAUCUUGGACAAUGGGCGCAAGCCUGAUCCAGCCAUGCCGCGUGAGUGAAGAAGGCCUUCGGGUUGUAAAGCUCUUUUACCAGGGACGAUAAUGACGGUACCUGGAGAAUAAGCCCCGGCAAACUUCGUGCCAGCAAGCCGC